GGGAGCUGUAGGAGGUUAUGAGACGCCAUGAGGAUCAUUAUAUUUGUCAGAGAGUGUCGUGCUGGCAAUUUUUACGGACGUUUUUCAUUCUGGUGAAAUCUUAAUGUGCAGGCAACAAUGCAGGUGGGUUCGCCUUCUUAAGUACAGUACCGGGUGUAUUCCUGUAUUUUUCGCCGCCAUUGUGGUGGUGGAUUCGUCACGUUUCUUUCGCCUUUUUUUUAUCGUCGGCUCUGUUAGCGACUUGGUGUGUGUGGCCACUUCCGAGGGUGUUUAUACAAUUUUUGGAAACUUUCUGUCUGAUGUUCACAACGCCUUGCAAAUAUUCGAGCUGAUUUCUAUGGAAUAGAUUUUCAAGAUGUUAAUGGAUCCUAGAUUUAUAAGUAAGAGUUGUGUAAUUGUUUCCUACAUGGCAUUUCCAGGGCUGUUAUACUAUUGGAUGAGAAUGGGCAUUUGAGUUUCAGAUAAAGCAUGCUUCAUGGGCUGGUGGUGGACUUUGAAUGGUUUUCUCAGAUUUGUCUUCAUUCCCACACCUAGACUCAUUUCCUCAAUCAAACCCUGUACAAUGGAUUUCUUGGUCUAGUAAGUAACCGAAGGUGUUUGUGAGCAAAUAUAUUGUUGCGCCUGCGACAAAUGGAAUGAAAAGGAUGAAGGAAGGAAAAGAUGAAGAAUGGAGGUAGUAACAAGUGUUAAUAACCGAUUUAAAUUUACUGUUUUUUAUUAUAAAUUAAUUAAAAAAUUUUUAACUAUAAAAUUUUGUUAAUUCGAAUAAGUCGAUACGAUUGUAUAAUUAUUAUUGGAUAAUAAUUGUAUAAUUCAUAAACUACAACUUCAGGAAAGUUACUA